rnacentral:ncRNA from 1 species
CUGACACUGCCACCGGGUAGUGUUAUGCGAACAGCAUUCAUUUACACAUCGUUAGGUCUGAGAAGAUGUGUGAAGGAGUGCUAUUUUUUU